rnacentral:rRNA from 1 species
UACAGAGGGUGCGAGCGUUAAUCGGAAUUACUGGGCGUAAAGCGCGCGUAGGCGGCUUUGCAAGUCGGGUGUGAAAUCCCCAGGCUUAACCUGGGAACUGCAUUCGAGACUGCAUUGCUAGAGUAUGGGAGAGGGAAGUGGAAUUUCCGGUGUAGCGGUGAAAUGCGUAGAUAUCGGAAGGAACAUCAGUGGCGAAAGCGGUUCUCUGGGCAUUACCUGACGCUGAGGAGCGAAAGUGUGGGGAGCGAACAGG